rnacentral:rRNA from 1 species
AUUGAACGCUGGCGGCAUGCCUUACACAUGCAAGUCGAACGGUAACAGGUCUUCGGAUGCUGACGAGUGGCGAACGGGUGAGUAAUACAUCGGAACGUGCCCGAGAGUGGGGGAUAACGAGGCGAAAGCUUUGCUAAUACCGCAUACGAUCUCAGGAUGAAAGCAGGGGACCGCAAGGCCUUGCGCUCACGGAGCGGCCGAUGGCAGAUUAGGUAGUUGGUGGGAUAAAAGCUUACCAAGCCGACGAUCUGUAGCUGGUCUGAGAGGACGACCAGCCACACUGGGACGAGGACACGGCCCAGACUCCUACGGGAGGCAGCAGUGGGGAAUUUUGGACAGUGGGCGCAAGCCUGAUCCAGCCAUGCCGCGUGCAGGAUGAAGGCCUUCGGGUUGUAAACUGCUUUUGUACGGAACGAAAAGACUCUGGUUAAUACCUGGGGUCCAUGACGGUACCGUAAGAAUAAGCACCGGCUAACUACGUGCCAGCCGCCGCCGUAACAC